AACGCACAUUGCGCCCGCCAGCAUUCUGGCGGGCAUGCCUGUUCGAGCGUCAUGUCAACCCUCGGGCUGCCCCCUCUCUCCCAGGGAGGGGGGGCGUCCCGGCGUUGGGGAUCGGCCCGCCUCCAGUCGGUGCCGCCCCCGAAAUGCAGUGGCGGUCACGCCGCAGCCUCCCCCUGCGCAGUAGUACAAACCUCGCACCGGGAGCGCGGCGCGGCCACGCCGUAAAACCGGGUUUGGGGAGAGCGUGAGACGACAGUCGAGCCUCCCCCCUUCCCCCCUUCGCAGAGUUGACCUCGGAUCAGGUAGGGAUACCCGCUGAACUUAA
rnacentral:misc_RNA from 1 species